GGCCCGAGCGCCUCUGCUCCAUCGCGCGUGCGCCGGAAGCUAAAAGGCUCUGUCCUCCCGGAAGGAGCCUGGAACUGGCAAUGCAGACCUCAGCCCAAACAGGUGGCUGUGUGUCACAGCCGCCAGUGCAAUGGUGCUUUCUGCCCUCCCUGCAGCCACCACCGCCGAAACGGUAGCCACAACAAUAAAAACACGAUGUGACAAAAUGCGUUGUCUGGACAUGGUGGAACAUCUGAAAUCCACAAACUCAGGAGGCCGAGGCAGGAGGAUCAACAGUUGGAAGGCAGCCUAGUCUAAUGAGCAAUACCUUGUCUCAAAAUGAAACCUAAAAGCCGCAAUGAACAAACACAUUAAAGGCCCUUGCUCUGGACUCUCUGGACUGAACUCCUGUACUGGGUUUUAACAGAUCAAACUAAAAUGGAAUUCCUUGUGCUCUCUGUUGUGUGAACAAAGUGAAUUAAUUUUGUUAUGUGUGUAGGUUUUUCUGCUUGUAUGUCUGCACGUCAUGUGCAUGUAGUGCCCUCAGAAGCAAGAAGAGGUCAUCAGAUCCUUCCCGGAACUGGAGUUACACACAGUUCUUAGGCACCAGGUGAGUGCUGGGAAUCAAACAUGAGUCAUCUGAAAGAGCAUCCAAUGAAAUCAUAACGAAACAGAGAAACUCUGUAACCUGGAGAUUUAUAGCAACCAAUCAAAAUAGCCCAAAGUGUGUUGAUCUAAUAAGGCAGUCCUUUGUGGUGGUUAAUCUUCAGGGUCAGUCUGACUACAUUUAGAAUUACCACAGAAAACACCCUUCUGACGUGUAUCUUUGAGAGUGUAUCCCGAUGUUGGGAUUGAAGACAGAAGUGGGUACCCAUCCUGAAUGUGGCCAGAACCAUCCUUUGGAUUUGGUCCCAGGCUGAAUAAAAAGAAAGCAAGAUAGUUACGAGCAUUUAUCUCUCUCUCUCUCUCUCUCUCUCCUUCCAUCCUGUAGAUGUAAUUGCUACACUAACUCCAGAAACUGUCUGUGUAGCAUAAAAAUGUGUUAUGCAAACAUAAAAUUAUGCAAACAGACGAGGAGACAUGUUUCCUAUGGGAAUUGGCUCCAUGGAAGUCCCUAGCAAAAAUACCCUAUUGGAAUAAGACGUGCUCUUAUAAUCCUGCUUUCUCAGAUGCAAGACUGGAAUUGAUGAGCUCCUUUUUUGCUGUUUCUCUAUGAUUCUUGAAACAGUACAAUUAACUAUUCAAGGAAACAUUUCUAAUAGAUCACUAAAAAGCUUUAGCAAAUAAGAGUAGAAGGAAAAUAAAAUUUUAGGAGAGGUAAUAAAUCAGAUUCGGCAUCAGGAAUUGCUUGUGGAAAAACCAAACAUUGUAGGUAGUAAAAGGACAAGAGCUUUAGGGCGUUCUAAAGAAAAUGUUUAAUCAGGAUCUGUUAGGAUAAAUGCUCUGGAUAUUCCCACUGCAGUAAAGCUACUACAAAACCAUUACCAAAUACAGGUGUUUAUGAUGAGGCAGAAAGAAGAUAGGCAAACAUAGGAGGUCAAAAAGUUUUGUAUUAUACUAUAAGUUUUACGGACAGGCUAGCUCAAGCAUCUUAUCUCUAAGGAAAGAUUGUAAAUCCUUAGCAAGACAAACAGGAGGAAUUCUCCUCAAUGCUUAACUCUAGGGGGUUGUAAAUCUUUAGCCGACUUGGUUCGGAGGGCAAUGACAGCCCCUGGCCUUCCACUCACUAAUUAGUAGCAGUAAACUGCAUAAAUACCACUAGUUCUAUGGUUGCUCUGUUUAAGAGGCUGUUAGGCCAAGAUUUUUUGUAGACACUGCUUCUACCAGGUUACUCUUUCAGUUAAAAUGUAAACUUUGUAUUGUUGGUAAAAAGUCUGAAUGCUCCGGGAAAUAUGUCAACUUCAGGUGCUUCUUUAUGUGAUCACUAUAUAAGUGCUAGCUUGACUUCAGUAAAUUGCAGUAGAUCCAAAUCAA